GAUUGUCAAUGAAGUAUUUCCUUUGGAACCGAAUCUAAGAAAUUUAGCAAUUUGCCACUAUCACUGAGACAGGGGAGUC
rnacentral:snoRNA from 14 species